CCGCCGGCGACCGGCGCACGGGUGAGUAACACGUAUGCAACCUGGCCGUGACAGAUGGAUAACCGGGAGAAAUCCCGCCUAAUACAGCAUGACGCCGGGAAGGGUCAUCCCUUUCCGGCCAAAGGGGGCGACUCCGGUCACGGAUGGGCAUGCGGCGCAUUAGGUAGUUGGUGGGGCAACGGCCCACCAAGCCGACGAUGCGUAGGGGUUCUGAGAGGAAGGUCCCCCACAUUGGAACUGAGACACGGUCCAAACUCCUACGGGAGGCAGCAG
rnacentral:rRNA from 1 species